rnacentral:lncRNA from 1 species
AAGUGUGAAGAUAGACAAAACUCACAGAUUAUUGACAUUAGUGCAAAACCUACUAUUAGAUAGUUCUACUAUCCCUAACUUUGUCCUCUCUUUCCUGAUUUUUUCUUCCAACAUGAGAAGAUGGAACUUCCUAAGGGUGUCAACGCCAUCCUACUUUAGUAGGAAAAGUGGUGUUCUAACUCUCUCCAACCUAUGAUAGAUUAAGUUAUAUCAAUAUCCUCCAACUGUAGUGGAUCACUCUGUAGAUUUUACUUUUUUGCCCUUAGUAGAUUUAGAUUGUACUUCAAACUAAAUUUCCUUCACAGAAAAACACAAAAAGUACAUUGUAAGUUAUUUUUGUACUGAAAAAAAUGGGAUAUUAAACUAACCUGCUCUUAUGAAGUCAGAUAGACCGAAAUCUAUAGCCUACAAGUGGGAUUCAUCUUUCCUUGACUUGAAAGAAAAUUCUACAGAAAUACAAAAUCAAUACAAAUCACAAUGUUAAAUUCGUCUUUUUGGAAAAUGAUCUAUGAUGGCAUGUAUGUUUUUUCUAACCUUUCUAACUAUGUUUUCUUUUCACUGGAACAAUAAAUUUCUAAAGAUAAUCAAAGAAGCCAUCCUAGUUUUAACAAAAAACAAUGGUUAAAUAAAUAAGAUUUGGUCGAAUAUCAGGGAAGCUAUUAGUGGCCACAAAUCCAGGGCAACAUAUUGAUGUUCAUCACGAAAUCACAGAUUUCAUAUUGUAAUCCUUGACUCACUAAAAAA